rnacentral:rRNA from 1 species
AGUGAACGCUGGCGGCAGGCCUAAUACAUGCAAGUCGAACGGCAGCACAGCAGAGCUUGCUCUGUGGGUGGCGAGUGGCGGACGGGUGAGGAAUACAUGGGAAUCUGCCCAGUCGUGGGGGAUAACGUAUGGAAACGUACGCUAAUACCGCAUGCGCCCUACGGGGGAAAGCCGGGGACCGAAAGGCCUGGCGCGAUUGGAUGAGCCCAUGUUCGAUUAGCUAGUUGGCGGGGUAAAGGCCCACCAAGGCGACGAUCGAUAGCUGGUCUGAGAGGAUGAUCAGCCACACUGGAACUGAGACACGGUCCAGACUCCUACGGGAGGCAGCAGUAGGGAAUAUUGGACAAUGGGGCAACCCUGAUCCAGCCAUGCCGCGUGAGUGAAGAAGGCCCUCGGGUUGUAAAGCUCUUUUGUCCGGAAAGAAAGCAUUCGGUUAAUACCCGGGUGUUCUGACGGUACCGGAAGAAUAAGCACCGGCUAACUUCGUGCCAGC